AAAUUGAAGAGUUUGAUCAUGGCUCAGAUUGAACGCUGGCGGCAGGCCUAACACAUGCAAGUCGAACGGUAACAGAAAGCAGCUUGCUGCUUUGCUGACGAGUGGCGGACGGG
rnacentral:rRNA from 1 species